rnacentral:rRNA from 1 species
UACGUAGGGGCAAGCGUUGUCCGGAUUUAUUGGGCGUAAAGAGCGUGUAGGCGGCUUUACAGGUCCGUUGUGAAAACUCGAGGCUCAACCUCGAGACGCCGGUGGAAACCGUAAGGCUAGAGUCCGGAAGAGGAGAGUGGAAUUCCUGGUGUAGCGGUGAAAUGCGCAGAUAUCAGGAAGAACACCCGUGGCGAAGGCGGCUCUCUGGGACGGUACUGACGCUGAGACGCGAAAGCGUGGGGAGCGAACAGG